AUUGAACGCUGGCGGCAGGCCUAACACAUGCAAGUCGAGCGGAUGAAGGGAGCUUGCUCCUGGAUUCAGCGGCGGACGGGUGAGUAAUGCCUAGGAAUCUGCCUGGUAGUGGGGGAUAACGUCCGGAAACGGGCGCUAAUACCGCAUACGUCCUGAGGGAGAAAGUGGGGGAUCUUCGGACCUCACGCUAUCAGAUGAGCCUAGGUCGGAUUAGCUAGUUGGUGGGGUAAAGGCCUACCAAGGCGACGAUCCGUAACUGGUCUGAGAGGAUGAUCAGUCACACUGGAACUGAGACACGGUCCAGACUCCUACGGGAGGCAGCAGUGGGGAAUAUUGGACAAUGGGCGAAAGCCUGAUCCAGCCAUGCCGCGUGUGUGAGGAAGGUCUUCGGAUUGUAAAGCACUUUAAGUUGGGAGGAAGGGCAGUAAGUUAAUACCUUGCUGCUUUGACGUUACCAACAGAAUAAGCACCGGCUAACUUCGUG
rnacentral:rRNA from 1 species